UUUAAUCCAUUUUAAAUUCAGGCUGUAACACAACAAAAUGUGGAAAAAGUCAAUGAAUGUGAAUACUUUUUGAAGGCUCUGUAGAUUAGGCUGCUUUUUGCUUCAUUACAAUCAUUUCGUGUCAUUUACAGUUAAUUAUAUAUUUUUCACCUCAAGGCCCUUUCUAAAAAUUCUGAAUUAUGAAGCCUUUAUUUUAAAUGUCACAUUUUGAGAAAGAUACCAUCAGAUCUGUUUGACAACGUUGGUAUGGUGAGGAUAUAAAUCAUAUUUCAAUUUCUCACAAAAAAGUAUUGGGGACAAUUAUGUUGGGAUAUGUCAUUACUUGACAAAAUUGACUUCCUGUCUUUCUGUAAUACAUGGAAAUGGUUCAAACCUAGGAAUCGAAUGUCCCUAUGCACAGUAGGCUAUCUGUGGUUAGGUUACACCUGGUGUUUUACCCUGUACAACUGGUUAGGUUACACCUGGUGUUUCAGCCUGUAUAACUGGUUAGCUUACACCUGGUGUUUCAGCCUGUACAACUGUGGUUAGGUUACACCUGGUGUUUCAGCCUGUACAACUGUGGUUAGGUUACACCUGGUGUUUCAGCCUGUAUAACUGGUUAGGUUACACCUGGUGUUUCAGCCUGUAUAACUGUGGUUAGGUUACACCUGGUGUUUCAGCCUGUAUAACUGUGGUUAGGUUACACCUGGUGUUUCAGCCUGUACAACUGUGGUUAGGUUACACCUGGUGUUUCAGCCUGUAUAACUGUGGUUAGGUUAGCCCACACCUCUAUGGUUAAGGAAUGGUUAAUGACACUACAAAAUGGGUAGAGACAAUGGGGUUUAGUUGCUGAGUGUAAACUCAACCUAACGUGUCUGUGGUGUGAAUAUAGUGUAUUCAAUUGGUUUCCAAAUGUGUUUUAAUGUUACAGCUACUCACCAGUAAUACUUGGGCGUAUUGAGAGGCUGAAUGAGAAAUAUAGAGGUGAUUUUUGCCCAGCUAAUAUACUGUAGGAUGGGCCCAUCAAUGCAAUGAUGCAGCAAACACAUAGCCCACUAAGAGAGAUGCUAAGGGUAGAUUUUAAUGUGUAUAUUUUCUUUAGCACCACCUGACCCUUGGUAGUAACUUGUGACCUAUAACCUUUGACCUAUAAUGUGUGGUAAAAUUACACUAGAGAUAAAAACAAACGUACGUUUUUGUUGUUGUUGACAUUUUUUGGUCCGGUUUCAUUCAAUUAAUAUACCAAUGUUUGUUGCCAAGUUUGUCUGAAUAUGACAGUAUUUUAUUGGUAAUCAUUGCUAACAAAUGAUUUACGGUAAUCCUAAUAAUCAAUAAGUUAAAAGGCUAUUCAACAUUUGGAGAAACUGAUCAUUUUAGUAUUUUUUUUUGAGGAAAACUUAAAUUGUAUGUUUGCUAAGUUCUACUGCUAUUAUUUUGCAGUGUUUUUAAACCACAAUGUUUUCCCCGUUUGCGACCAGCAGAAAACAGCUAUAUUUGUCAGACUUAAUAGCCUACUGUUGGUAACAUUUUAUGGCUGUUUUUUAAUAUUUUUUUUAAAAACUAAACUGAGUUGUAGUUUUAAGAUGUUUUGAGAUGAGGUUGGUCUGGUUUAUCUGUUUGAAAAACUGUAUGAGAAAAAAAAUCUGUAUUUGUCUCAAAGUUUUGCCUCAACUGUGGACUUCCUAUGGCUCAAACCUCACAGGAACCUCUGAAGAGAAGGAAACUACUUAGUAUUUGUGUGUUUUCACUGAGAAAGCAGCUUUUAAGUUGUCUUCUUUUGUGUUCUGUUUUAAGUGGAGUAAUAUGACCCUCUUGCUUUGUGCUGUGUACCUGGUUUCAUUGGGAAGACAAGAAAAGGGAAAAUCCUCUUCCCACACUGCGCUUACUGCCACGCUGUUUAACACACACAGAGACAAAGUGCAUUUAUGCACUUAUUUGUCCUCCGAAUAUCAAUAAAUGUUCAUUUGUUGGAAACCUG